AAACUUUGCAAUGUGCGAAAGCACGACAAGGUUAAUCCGAGUGUUUCCUGCUAAAGGAAUCUUUUGUUAGUCGUAAAACCACUAUUGAAUAAGGGGUGGGCAAGUUCUGGUGUCAGCCGCCGCGGUAAAACCAGCACCUCAAGUGGUCAGGAGGUUUAUUGGGCCUAAAGCAUCCGUAGCCUGAUCUAUAAGUUUCCGGUUAAAUCCACAUGCUCAACAUUUGGGCUGCCGGAAAAACUGUAGAUCUAGGGAGUGGGAGAGGUAGACGGUACUCGGUAGGAAGGGGUAAAAUCCUUUGAUCUAUUGAUGACCACCAGUGGCGAAGGCGGUCUACCAGAACACGUUCGACGGUGAGGGAUGAAAGCUGGGGGAGCAAACCGGAUUAGAUACCCGGGUAGUCCCAGCUGUAAACGAUGCAGACUCGGUGAUGCAUUGGCUUGUGGCCAGUGCAGUGCCGCAGGGAAGCCGUUAAGUUUGCCGCCUGGGAAGUACGUACGCAAGUAUGAAACUUAAAGGAAUUGGCGGGGGAGCAC
rnacentral:rRNA from 1 species